rnacentral:rRNA from 1 species
AGCUCCAAUAGCGUAUAUUAAAGUUGUUGCAGUUAAAAAGCUCGUAGUUGGAUUUCUGGUGGGAGCGUUGGGCCGGCCUAAGGGUCUGAGCUCAAAUGUUUUCCGCCAUCCUUGGAGGGAUGUUGUCUGGCAUUAAGUUGUCGGGCUUCCGAUCUCCAUCGUUUACUGUGAAAAAAUUAGAGUGUUCAAAGCAGGCUUAU